GGUUGCUAGGUAGAGUAGAUUUUUCUCCCUGUGGUUGCUAGGUAGAGUAGAUUUUUCUCCCUGUGGUUGCUAGGUAGAGUAGAUUUUUCUCCCUGUGGUUGCUAGGUAGAGUAGAUUUUUCUCCCUGUGGUUGCUAGGUAGAGUAGAUUUUUCUCCCUGUGGUUGCUAGGUAGAGUAGAUUUUUCUCCCUGUGGUUGCUAGGUAGAGUAGAUUUUUCUCCCUGUGGUUGCUAGGUAGAGUAGAUUUUUCUCCCUGUGGUUGCUAGGUAGAGUAGAUUUUUCUCCCUGUGGUUGCUAGG